CUCAGAGUGUGGGGUGUCAAGUGCUUGUGUGUGUCUUCCGAUCGUCCUCCAUCUUCCGCGCUAUUCCCCGCCCGGAUUAGUUCGGGAUGUCCAUGGCGGUGUUGUUGGCAAAGGGCCGCCUUCGCGGCGGCUAACAGCCAGGACGGAGGAUCGGGGAGCGCUUGCGUCCGCGCACAUCGCCCGCCCCCGGCCGCUCGGCACUUUCUUAAGGCUUCCCUCACAGUUGGCUUGGGACAAUGGAGGGGCCGCUCCCCCUCCGAGACCUCGGAAGGUAUGAACCCUACUAUCUCAAUUUUUCAAGAUAGAGGAAUUGACACAUAAAGAUUGUCUAGUGUCACGCCACUCUUAAGUGAUGCAACUGAGAGCCAAGCAUAGACAAGGAACCGUGUUAACCAUUCUCCCAUGCCGUCUGCUGUAGAUCAGGCCAUGUCUUCAAGUGUAUCCAGAAGAUAUUCCAAGAAAGACCCUGAUCCAUCCUUGAACAUUUCAAACAUUUUGGUGAAUCUCCUUAUUCAGCUGUCAAGAGGCCUUCUAUUAAGUCAAUGACUAUAUCUUGAUCACAUGUCUUAAUAUUCAUAAAUGUAUGGCAAGCCGACUGCCUGUAGCUGACUGAUAGAAUUUAUGUUCUACCCUUAAUGUGCAAUGUAGACUAUUUCUACUUCUCAAAGAAUGUACACUGAGGUCUUUACAAUUCAAUACUCAUCAAAAAGCUCAAUAACAUUUAUGGAGAGCUGUCUGAUAGGUACAUAGCUAUUUUCCCCUCUAGUUCAGGGUCAGCAAAUAUACAAUACUGCUCUUGCUACUCUCUUUUCCAAGCCGCUGGCCAACUUUAAUCCAUAACCCCUUUCUUAAACUGAGUUUAAACUCUUGCUCAAACACAAUUCUCUCUGACUAGUGCUUCAGGCAGCCAUUGGCAUCUCAUCAGCAUUGGCAUGCAACAUGAAAUCCAUUUGCUAUUUCACCUCUGGAUAGUCUUAAAAGCCAAACUGUCAGAAAGCCAUGAACUUGAAAUUCAUCAUUUUGUCCCUUUGUAAGAUUCUUUCCUAGAAUUGCUCUGUGGACUUAUGUCAUCAGCCUACAUUACAAUCAUAAGAAAACCUCUUAUAAAUGCAUCAUAGUUACUGUAGGGGUGUUUUUGGAGUGCCUGUCUUCUGAGGAUUUCUUUUUAACAUUGAAGGACAGAGGGUUAAGUAGCACACCUAAAUUCACUCAGUGAAGGGGGAGACAGAAAUUGAAGCAAAGAUUGCUAGAUUGCAUAUCUUUUCCUCUGUUCUGUGUGUCCUUAGACCUGCUCCCACCCAUCUCCCCAACCUGUCUUCCUCUGCUGACUUAUGCAAGCAGCAUUUUACCUUGUUUGCAUGCACUGAAGUACCUGUUCUAUUGAUUCAAUUUUUGCCCCUCCUCGAUUUUCCUUGCCUCUUCCUAUCCUUCCUUAGAAACAUUUUCUAGAUAAACUCCCCCUGCAUUUACUCAUCAACUUACUACAGUCUAAAUCUGCUCCAAUCGUUUUCCUGGAAUUACUUUAUUGGAAGUCACUGAUGACCUCCUAACUGCCAAAUCUGAUGACAUCUUCAGUCCUCAUCUUGGCCCAUCUCUCAGCAAUUUGACAAUGUUGAUCACUCCCUU